rnacentral:lncRNA from 1 species
AGAGCCAUCCUCAUAACAAAGAAAAAAAAUUUUUAAGAAGAAAAAAACUCGACAAAACAAUAACUAAGUCAAGAAAAUGUGACAUUAUAGACAACAUUCCAUAGUCUCUAAAGGAUUGGAAAUGAGGCACCUGGUUAUCCAGAACCUGAAUCUCCAUCAUCCCAGCCUCCUCAGUCGAAUCUUGUCCGUUGACCUUCACAGCAUCUCUCCCAGCUGUUCUCCUUUCUCUGCCUCCUCACCACCUCUGGCGCCUAUCACCUCUCUCCUCAGCCCUUCUUUGUGCCAGAUUCAUACAUACAUACAUACAUAUUAUAUACAUAGAGAGAGAGAGAAGAGAGAGAGAAAGAGACAGAGAGAGAAAGAGACAGAGAGAGAUGCCGGGGGCUCAUAUAGAGGAAUCGGUGUCACCCUCAGAAAUGGAGCCCCUAUGGUCAAUACAAAAUUGAUGACUGACCAUAUGCACAGACUCGCCCAGCAUCCUUCUGAUGAGAAUUUUGAAUCUCAGACAGACUUUCCUACUGGGAAAAAACAAACAAACAACGUAAGUCAACAUGAGUAUUGGAGCUGCAUGCCAAUUAUCUUGCUCUAUGGAUAAUAAUAAAUAUUUUGGUCACAGCA